AUUUGCUCUCUGCCCCUUUAGAGAAGUGUGUCAAUCCUCCUGUCAUGACAUAAGGCUACAAUAGAUUUUUAUCACAUCUGCUUAGACAAUUAAUGUCCAUUUUGCUUGGAGAUGGAUGCUAAGAUGUAAACUGACUGGUAAGUGAUACCGCAUUUAUUAAUAACUAUGUAAUUUUUGAAAGUAGAGAUUCUGUGUUUAUUCUGACACUCUGGUUCUUUUUUGUUUGGUUGGUUUUUGUUUUGUUUUGUUUUGUUUUGUUUGUUUUGAGACGGAGUCUCGCUCUGUCACCCAGGCUGAAGUGCAGUGGCGCUCUCUCUGCUCACUGCAAUCUCUGCCUCACGGGUUC
rnacentral:lncRNA from 10 species